GUCCUGUUGAAGAGUCCCACAAUAGAACGAAACGGACGUUCAGUGC
rnacentral:hammerhead_ribozyme from 1 species